rfam:Aedes aegypti strain Liverpool supercont1.366 genomic scaffold, whole genome shotgun sequence.
UGCCCAGCAAUUCCUAUCCCUACCUCCUCGCGGUACUGGCCGGGGUACGAGUAACCUUAGGGAAGAUCGGGUAACCAACCAUUGGUGGGAACUUUGGUCGUAUGCUGACAGGGAAGG